UACGGAGGGGGCUAGCGUUGUUCGGAAUUACUGGGCGUAAAGCGCACGUAGGCGGCCAUUCAAGUCAGAGGUGAAAGCCCGGGGCUCAACUCCGGAACUGCCUUUGAGACUGAGCGGCUAGAACACGGGAGAGGUGAGUGGAAUUCCGAGUGUAGAGGUGAAAUUCGUAGAUAUUCGGAAGAACACCAGUGGCGAAGGCGGCUCACUGGACCGUUGUUGACGCUGAGGUGCGAAAGCGUGGGGAGCAAACAGG
rnacentral:rRNA from 1 species